rnacentral:lncRNA from 1 species
AGGCAGAUCACUUGAGGUCAGGAGUUCAAGACCAACCAGACCAACAUGGCAAAACCAUGUGUCUACUAAAAAUACAAAAAUUAGCCAGGCAUGAUGGGGCAUGCCUGUAGUCCCAGCUACCCAGGAGGCUGAGGCAGAAGAAUUGCUUGAAGUCAGAGACUGCAGUGAGCCAAGACCACAUCACUGAACCCCAGCCUGGACAACAGAGUGAGAUUCCAUCUAAAAAAUAAAAUUAAAAAAAAAAAAUCACUACUGCAACUCUCUGACCCCAAGGCUGAGCUUCUGAAGAUUGGGUCCAGUAAAUCUUGCUGAAUGAAUGAAUGAAAAGGUGGAUGUAUGAAUAAAUGAGUGCUGUGGUGUAGAUGAAUGAGUUACAAACUAUAUGACCAUGCAUUUGAACAGAGGCCAUUUAAACUGGGUUUCAAAAGUAGAAUAGGAGUCUGCAGGGAGAAAGCAUUGCUGUGAUGAUGAUUAAAAGCUACAAAAGGUUUAUAAGAUGAAGAAUGUGGCUUUUUUUUUUUUUUUUUUGAGACAGAGUCUCACUCUAUCACCCGGGCUGGAGUGCAGUGGCACGAUCCUGGCUCACUGCAACCUUCACUUCCCGGGUUCAAGUGAUUCUCCUGCCUCAGCCUCCUGAGUAGCUGGGACUAUAGGUGCACGCCACCACACCCAGCUGAUUUUUGUAUUUUUAGUAGAGACGGGGUUUCACCACAUUGGUCA